AACCCUAAAAACAUCUCUUCAUUCACAUCUAAUCCUAGCCGUCACUUCACUCUCUCUCUGAAAAAUUCACUUCACUCUCCAAUUCUCUGAAAAAUUCCACUCUUUCGAUCCCUCCCAUUGCUGCAAUUCACACCGAAUCGAGUUCCGUUGGUUUGCCGCCGUAGUUAACUCAGUCCUCUUCGAUCUCAAAGUUUCGGAAUUGAAAUCGCACCGAAUCGAGAUCCGUUUGUUUGCUGACGUAGCUAACUCAGUCCUCUUCGAUUCUACGCUUGAAUUCGUUAUUCGGUACGUUAUUCUCUCCGUACUAAGCGCCGUAGUUUCACCGUUUUUGAAUGUCAUUGGAUGUGUUGCUUGUGGUUGUGGUUGUUUACUGCCGAUUCUUAUUGCCUUUACUGAUAUAAUUCUGGUUGUAUUGAUGACUUUGAUCUCACGUUUUCUAUUGUUCUUGUUCAUGUCAUGAAACCUUUGAUUCAUUUUCAGGGUUUAAAUGAUAUUUAAUGGAGAUGGUUUUGUGUUUGUGAGCGCAAAUUUUCUUGAGUGUUAGAGUUUUUGCUGCUCCAGAUUUUAACAAUAAGUUCUUUAAUAAGGGCUCCUAGCUUGAUGAUGACUUAAUUGUGCAUAUAUGAAAAAUCUCAAAUUCAGUUAACAUUAAUUGUUUAGGUUGGGUAAUGACGUGUCUUCAUGAAAAUAUGGUACCAGGCUUGUUACGAAAGUUUAGAUCUUCUUUUCUUUAAUUUUGGAAAACAUGAGUGAGGGAAGCUGAUUAAUUUUGUAUUGAUCCAUAGUUGGCUUGCUGGUUUGGUAAUUAAAGAAUAUGGGCUUGUUUGUUUAAAUUGGAUUUGGGCCAAUGUU